CUUCCGUCCUUUAUGGUAGUCGCUUCAGUUUGACCAGACACCUGGCAUGGUGCUUUCUUCCAUAUAUUGUUCUCUAGAAAAUUUUCCUUGUGUAUAGUAUAUUGGAUUCGAUGAUUAUUAUUUUAGCUUCUUCAGACGCUUUUGUUCUUCUUUUAAGAUCGGGAUGACUUUCCAUGCUGUUAUAUACCAUAUAAGAGCUCUCUGGCAGAGAUUACUAUGUUUCACUCCGAAGAAUACAAGAAAAUGGAAGGUACCCAACCUUAGUGCAAGCGUUGUGAACAUAUAUCUGGUCCUCUUGAUUGGACUAUUGGCAGCCUUUUAUUUUGCACAAACUGUUCAUAUAUAUGCAUCUGUUUUUGUAACUACAAAAUGUAGUAAGUGUACUCCAGCGAUGUAUAUAUAUAUUUAUUUACUUAAGAACAACCUUUCCAUAAAGGAGGUCAUACGCUCCAUAC
rnacentral:lncRNA from 1 species